rnacentral:rRNA from 1 species
UACGAAGGGGGCUAGCGUUGUUCGGAAUUACUGGGCGUAAAGCGUGCGCAGGCGGCCAUUCAAGUCAGGGGUGAAAGCCCAGAGCUCAACUCUGGAACUGCCCUUGAAACUGUAUGGCUUGAGUACGAGAGAGGUGAGUGGAAUUCCCAGUGUAGAGGUGAAAUUCGUAGAUAUUCGCAAGAACACCAGUGGCGAAGGCGGCUCACUGGCCCGGUACUGACGCUGAGGUGCGAAAGCGUGGGGAGCAAACAGG